rnacentral:lncRNA from 10 species
GCACUGCACAGCUCUCUUCUCUCGCCGCCGCCCGAGCGCACCCUUCAGCCCGCGCGCCGGCCGUGAGUCCUCGGUGCUCGCCCGCCGGCCAGACAAACAGCCCGCCCGACCCCGUCCCGACCCUGGCCGCCCCGAGCGGAGCCUGGAGGUGAGCGCUGGAAGCCGAGGGAGUGAGCGCGACGAGGGCUGCUCGCCUUCAUUCCCUUCGCGCCCCUCUAAGUAACCAGUCCGCCGACCCCUGACCCACCCCGGAUCCGCGCCCCCAGCCUCCGGCUUGGAAAUAACUCUGGCUUAAACUUCUUCUAAGCCACCGCUGCUCCUCGGCGCUUCGAAAAGUUUCCCGCAAAGCGAAAGAACUAACUUUCUCUUUUGACUUGGGGC